UACGGAGGGGACUAGCGUUGUUCGGAAUUACUGGGCGUAAAGCGCACGUAGGCGGAUUUGUAAGUCAGGGGUGAAAUCCCGGGGCUCAACCUCGGAACUGCCUUUGAUACUGCAAAUCUCGAGUCCGGAAGAGGUGAGUGGAAUUCCUAAGUGUAGAGGUGAAAUUCGUAGAUAUUAGGAAGAACACCAGUGGCGAAGGCGGCUCACUGGUCCGGUACUGACGCUGAGGUGCGAAAGCGUGGGGAGCA
rnacentral:rRNA from 1 species